AAUUUUCAACCCAGGGCUGAGUUCAACCCCGGUGUUGAAAUUUCAACCAUGCUAGCUGAAGCAGGGUUGAAAUUUCAACCCCAUUUCAACUCCGGGGUUGAACUCAGCCCUGGGUUGAAAA